CAAAAGUCGGGCUUUUUCCCCCUGGAAAUUAUCUAUGUUCUUCCCUCCAUAUCUCCCUCCAUCCUCCCUCCUUCUCUCCCUCCGUUGUCAAUGUCCUUCUCUUUCCCCCUUUCUCUUGCUUUUCUUUCUCCGAGUCUCUCCGUCUCUUCCCCCAUUUCAGGCUCUGUUUCUCGAACCUCCCAAACCCUAUCCUAUUCUAUAUCUUAGCCUUCGUGGGUGGUCUCUCCUCGCUUUGGCUGCACCACUGGCCCCAGCAUCCUAGCCUUCUCAUUUUUGUUGUUGUUGUUGUUUUGUUUUGUUUUGUUUUCCAUUGUGACUCACCCUCUGUCCUUGUGUCUGCUUAGGGUUUCCACUAGGGCACACAGGGUAAGAUAGUGCCACAUUCCCUAGAAAGUUUCCCGUGAGCCAGAUCUGGAGCCUUCUCAGCUCCAGAGCUGAGGAGAGGACGCCCCCCUGGGAGUUGGCUGCCACUGCACACAUAGCAACAGAUGGCUAGGGACACCUGUUGCGCUGGCAGGUUGCCAAGCCUGGCGCGCAGCCCUUGGACCGACUGCCAACCUGGUUCUGUCCACUUCAGAAGCUGAUCCCUAGCUGGAAAUGUAACUCAGUGGAAGAGUGCUUGCCCUGGCAUGUGAGAAG
rnacentral:lncRNA from 1 species